GCCGGAAAAAUGAAAAUCACCGCCAACAACCACUAUUCUUCACACUAGAUCCAGCUACCAACUACAACCACCAACAUCAUAACAAUAAUCACCGGAUUUAAAUAUAAAUCAUUACAAUAAUCAGUAAUUACCACCACAUCACUACCACCGCAAUCUAGAAAACCCCCAAAUAUGAAAAAUCGCCGAUUACAAAACAAAAUCACUACAAAUGAACUACGGUCACCAACAUAAUAACAAUAAUCACCAGAUUUAAUUAAAAAUAAUCACUUAUCACUAUCACAUCACUAGAACCACCAUCAACAAACCUCCCCAAAUCCGAA
rnacentral:lncRNA from 1 species